GGAUAUGUGGCUAUAUGAGAUAUAGACACCUAGCCCACUAAGUUCCACUAAUUGUUAGUGGAAUAUUAGGUGUUGAGAUUUGGCAAUUGAAUUGCAUGCAUUUUUGCAUGUAAUUAGGCUAUAAAUAGAGAUGUUUUCAAAUGUUGAAGGACUUUUGCCUCUUUUAUCAUUUUCAUAAUCUCAACAAAAGAAGAAAAAAACUUCCAAUCUCAUUUUAUCUCCAUUAUUUUCUACACCAAAAUUGGGUCCCACAACCCGGUUCUUUGUCUAGAGGAUAGCAGUUGAGUACUAGUGGUGGUCUCGGGUAGAAUUGGUAAGAAGACAUCAAACCUUUUGUAAGCUUCAAAGGUAAUACUUCUUAAAACCCUAAUUUGAUUAGUUUAUGGUUACAUGUUAAUUGUGGCAAUUAGGGUAGAAAUUCGAUUCUUUUUCCGCUGUGCAUGACUUAGUUCUAUCAGGAGAAAUCUAAACGUAUACAAAUAUUUCCAUUGAUCCAAUUGUGCAUAACGUGUUUUCCAAGGCAAUCAAUGUUUUUCCUUCAAUAUGCACAUUUAACAUCAUAUAAAGCAUUGCAAACAUAUGAUUGGAUUGUUCCUAAAUUAAAGACACGUUUAAAAGUUCAGAAACCAUGUAUAAGAACGCACAUACAAGAGUUUACACACUGUGUGAAAUUCGAUUGCAACUAGUGUGGGAGAUGUAGAGAAAAAGAUAUGAGAUUUUUCUUGAUCCCUUCAAUUAUGUUUUAUUUUAUAUAAAUAACAUUUGAAACUAUAUGCAAUGGCAUGCUCUAGCUAAACCAUGCAUUAAUAUUUCAUUUCAAAAUAUCUUUUCUAGUUCCAAGGAAAGCACAUAUUAUAAGUUCCAGUGUCUUUUGGGUGCAUCAAACAAGGGCCAUCUCGAUAAAUUUCCCACGAGCAAUUAGUGCAACGAUUCAUGUCCCUGUGAAAGUUAUAGAUGGUGAAGUUGUGCAUCUCGCCUUGCACAAAUUCAAAGCCGCAAGUAAAUUCUGUUGUGCCCCAAAUAUUAGGUUUAAAGUGAAAGGAGUAACUACGUCCAGACUCAAGGGAAUGGACUCCCAAGUCAUCGUCCUUUGACCUACAGUGAACGCCUAGCACUGGGCCAGCCAAUUUAUUAAUAGUGGUCACUGUUGUUUCAGGUGGACCAAUUGAGAUUAAUUCUUCAUCAGCAUAUAGCGUGAUGAAAAGUAUUUGUAAAACCAAGAAUGCAAGUGCCAACGAGGAAUUCAUUAUGCUUUCGAAUCGAGAGAGAAAGAUAAGUAAUGUCCAAAGGACUAUGCUUUUCUUUUGUUGUUGGACACAAUGGAAUGUUUCGAAACAUCACACAGACAUAUAUAGGAGAGUAAAGGAAUACAAAUCUUUUUUCAAAUGGUUAAAUGGUAAUUUUGUGAUCGUUAUGCAACUUUUCAUUUUAGAAGCAGGAACCGCGAUAGUUUGAAUCAAAUGGUGAAAGAGCGCAUUAAACAACUACAUAUUGGUAGUGACAUUCCACAAUUAAUAAAAGAAAAAGAAAAUAAGUUGUAAAACAAUUCACGAAAUGAUUGUUAUGUUUAACCACAUGAGGUUAAUUUUUACAUCCCAACUCAACACUAUUCCUUUUCCGUUUGUUUUGUCUUCUCUUUUUCUUCAAGUUACGUACUAAUAAGGAUGGUUGGAAGACAAUAAAUUAGGGAAAGAGUGUGGGUUUAGGUUACAUUUCAGCAUUUAGUUAAAUUAUAGGUUGAUACGCUUUUUAAUUUGUAUUGUGUAUAUACAAAAUAACAUAUCUUGUUGUUGGUAUUUUAUUAAUGCCACAUCAAAUUUCUAAUUAGGAGAUUCUUCAACCUGUAUGUUUAGUUAGUCCGUGCUUGGAUUGGAAUGUUGGGUUGAUUAAUUUAAAUCUUAAAAUAAUAAUUGUAUCGAUUUAAAUCCUAAACUUCGCCGGGUGUAUCAAUUUAAACCUCAACUAAACUAAUAAUAGUAUCGAUUUGAACAUUGCACUUCAAUUAGUCUAUCAUUCACCUCCUCUUCAACUUCUUCCCCCCCUCUUCCUCCCCUUACCAUCAUGCAAACGUUUAACAUGAAACAUCUUUACCAACACAUUUUUCAAUGUGCAUCACUCAAGCAAAAUGAAAUACAUCGUCCGACAUAAAAGAUAGGUGGUAACUUAAUUAUUUCCAUUAGAUGUUGUUCACCAUCACAUUCGAUUAAUAUAUAUGUAUAUACAUAAACGAUCUGUAACUGUGUGCUUGCUUGCCAAUAUUUUCCUUCGCUGCCUUGUGGGGCAUAAAACAAAAUAUUUUGAGGUUACACCAAAACGGUCUAGUGAGUGGAGGUUUUCAUCAACACAUUUAAUAGAACACACUCUCGCCAUAACGCAUUACAAAAGUUCUUUCCACAACACCACGCAAUAUAAAUAAGUACGCAUUUCAAUAGAAAUAUGAGUUUAAAUUGGAAAAUCAUUCCGCUGCGUUUGGCGAUUUACACAUUCAAAUCUCAUUGGCAAAUAUUCAUAGCAACCCAUUUCCUUGCAAAUUCAUUUCAUCAUAAAAUCACAUCGCAUGGGAGAGCAUUUCGCAUAACAAUUUCCAUCUUUCGUACCAUGCUAAGCUCAAGAGUCAACACGCUCUUAUCGCUGAGUUGCAGCUGUACGGAGAAAUCUAAACGUAUACAAAUAUUUCCAUUGAUCCAAUUGUGCAUAACGUGUUUUCCAAGGCAAUCAAUGUUUUUCCUUCAAUAUGCACAUUUAACAUCAUAUAAAGCAUUGCAAACAUAUGAUUGGAUUGUUCCUAAAUUAAAGACACGUUUAAAAGUUCAGAAACCAUGUAUAAGAACGCACAUACAAGAGUUUACACACUGUGUGAAAUUCGAUUGCAACUAGUGUGGGAGAUGUAGAGAAAAAGAUAUGAGAUUUUUCUUGAUCCCUUCAAUUAUGUUUUAUUUUAUAUAAAUAACAUUUGAAACUAUAUGCAAUGGCAUGCUCUAGCUAAACCAUGCAUUAAUAUUUCAUUUCAAAAUAUCUUUUCUAGUUCCAAGGAAAGCACAUAUUAUAAGUUCCAGUGUCUUUUGGGUGCAUCAAACAAGGGCCAUCUCGAUAAAUUUCCCACGAGCAAUUAGUGCAACGAUUCAUGUCCCUGUGAAAGUUAUAGAUGGUGAAGUUGUGCAUCUCGCCUUGCACAAAUUCAAAGCCGCAAGUAAAUUCUGUUGUGCCCCAAAUAUUAGGUUUAAAGUGAAAGGAGUAACUACGUCCAGACUCAAGGGAAUGGACUCCCAAGUCAUCGUCCUUUGACCUACAGUGAACGCCUAGCACUGGGCCAGCCAAUUUAUUAAUAGUGGUCACUGUUGUUUCAGGUGGACCAAUUGAGAUUAAUUCUUCAUCAGCAUAUAGCGUGAUGAAAAGUAUUUGUAAAACCAAGAAUGCAAGUGCCAACGAGGAAUUCAUUAUGCUUUCGAAUCGAGAGAGAAAGAUAAGUAAUGUCCAAAGGACUAUGCUUUUCUUUUGUUGUUGGACACAAUGGAAUGUUUCGAAACAUCACACAGACAUAUAUAGGAGAGUAAAGGAAUACAAAUCUUUUUUCAAAUGGUUAAAUGGUAAUUUUGUGAUCGUUAUGCAACUUUUCAUUUUAGAAGCAGGAACCGCGAUAGUUUGAAUCAAAUGGUGAAAGAGCGCAUUAAACAACUACAUAUUGGUAGUGACAUUCCACAAUUAAUAAAAGAAAAAGAAAAUAAGUUGUAAAACAAUUCACGAAAUGAUUGUUAUGUUUAACCACAUGAGGUUAAUUUUUACAUCCCAACUCAACACUAUUCCUUUUCCGUUUGUUUUGUCUUCUCUUUUUCUUCAAGUUACGUACUAAUAAGGAUGGUUGGAAGACAAUAAAUUAGGGAAAGAGUGUGGUUUAGGUUACAUUUCAGCAUUU
rnacentral:lncRNA from 1 species